UCUGAGUGUUUCCGUUAGGGAAAUCUUGUGGCCCUCUAAAAGUGGUGCAAAAUAGGGGGUGGGCAAGUCUGGUGCCAGCAGCCGCGGUAAUA
rnacentral:rRNA from 1 species